rnacentral:rRNA from 1 species
GGAUGCGAUCAUACCAGCACUAAAGCACCGGAUCCCAUCAGAACUUCGAAGUUAAGCGUGCUUGGGCGAGAGUAGUACUAGGAUGGGUGACCUCCUGGGAAGUCCUCGUGUUGCAUUCAU